rnacentral:rRNA from 1 species
AUUGAACGCUGGCGGCAUGCCUUACACAUGCAAGUCGAACGGCAGCACGGGUGCUUGCACCUGGUGGCGAGUGGCGAACGGGUGAGUAAUACAUCGGAACGUACCUUAUCGUGGGGGAUAACGCAGCGAAAGCUGUGCUAAUACCGCAUACGCCCUGAGGGGGAAAGCGGGGGAUCGCAAGACCUCGCGCGAUUAGAGCGGCCGAUGCCUGAUUAGCUGUUUGGUGGGGUAAAAGCCCACAAAGGCGACGAACAGUAGCUGGUCUGAGAGGACGAUCAGCCACACUGGGACUGAGACACGGCCCAGACUCCUACGGGAGGCAGCAGUGGGGAAUUUUGGACAAUGGGGGCAACCCUGAUCCAGCAAUGCCGCGUGAGUGAAGAAGGCCUUCGGGUUGUAAAGCUCUUUUGUCAGGGAAGAAACACCGGCUCUAACACAGUCCGGGAAUGACGGUACCUGAAGAAUAAGCACCGGCUAACUACGUGCCAGCAGCCGCCGUAA